AUUCAUCUCAGCUUUCUUCUCCAAUAUUGUUGGGUUUUUGUUUUAUUAGAUGAAUGUAAUUUAGUUUUCUAUUAUUGUCAUUUUUUUAUUAUUUAGUUUUAUUGUUUUAUGGUCUGAACUUGCUGAAACACUCUUUGUUUCCCCUUAGAUUUUAUAUUUUAGUUAUUCUAAUUUCUAUUUUGUUUGCAGGAUCCUUAGAGAAAAAAUUGACUCCCAUGGAUGAAGUGUCAUCUAUUGACCUAAAACGUAGUCAAUCCAUCAUUAAUGCGUGUAUUCAAAGUGGUCAAUUUUUCAUAUUUCUAAUUUUUCCCUUUCAUACUACAACCUCGUAGCACACAUAACUUGGAAAAAGUGGAGGCUUCAGAUGAUCAUGGGAAUACGAAGAGAACAUAAACACAAGGUGAAGUCUUAACUGCACACCGUUAUUCCAUCAUAUUCUCCAUUCAAUGUUCUUUUGCAAGUGGGUGCCACUUAUAAUGUGGCUAAUAAUUGAGUCUCAAAAUUGGCAGAUUGAUGAUAAUUGCCAAAAGCAAGAGCUACACUUGAGGAAAAAUUAAAAUAGAAGGGAGUUUAUAGUUCCUUUGCUUCAAAGUUUAAUAAAGCAAAGGAACAUCAGAAAUCAGUGAAGGGGUACUAAUUUUGUAUGUACUUUUUGAUUUAAUUAAAUAUAUUUGUAGUACAUGAAUAUUUUAACUAAAUUUUUAACUAAAGGCAUUCAUGUGAAUAUUUGUGUGAUGUAAG
rnacentral:misc_RNA from 1 species